ACUUCAGUAAUUGUAUUUUGUCUCUGAUAAUGAGCGACUGUCUUCAGGUAAAUGAUCUUGAGUGUGUUUGCAUAUUGAUCAGAUGCUUCAGUGCUCUGAGAGUGUUUAUAGUGCUGUGAGUUUAACUCUUCAUCACUGAGAGCUUUUCUCCAUUUUAACUGAAAGAACAACCAGCAAGAAGAUGAUGAUCAUCAACAUCUGUAUCUGGACACUCAUUCUUUCUGUUCAAGAAACUGCAGGACAAAUUUCUGUGACCCAGACUCCCUCAGCAGCAGCUGCUCAACCAGGAGAAACAGUUACUAUAAACUGUCAGACUAGCAGAGGAAUUGGAGAUCGUUCAGCGGGUUGUGGCUCCUGUCUCGCCUGGUAUCUGCAGAAACCUGGAGAAGCUCCUAAACUCCUCAUUUAUGACAUUAGAUCACGGCAGUCAGGAACUCCAUCUAGAUUCAGUGGCAAUGGAGCAAAUUAUGGGACUGAUUUCACUCUGACCAUCAGUGGAGUCCAGACUGAAGAUGCUGGACAUUAUUACUGUCAGAGUGUACACAGGAUCAGUAAUAGCUGGGUGUUCACACAGUGAUAAAGAGUCGUACAAAAACCUCCGUCAGUCAGAGUCACAGAGACUGAACUGAUCCUGCAGCUGCUCAAACACUAUCACUCACUACUGACACACAGAGGAUUUCAACAGUUUUCUCUUCUAUCACAGUCCACCAGAGAAAACACAUCUGUAAACAAAAAAAAUGGGCCUGAUUUUGUCUUAUGGCACAGGUUAUUUCAGUGUCUUUUGGUGAUGAGCAAACUAUGGAACUAUUUAAUUCAGUUAUCCAUGAUAUUUACUGACUACAAAAAAGUCAGUAAAACGCUAUAUAAACUUCAUUCGCUCUAUAAUCUUUAGACCUGAUCAUAGUGAACUAUAUUGGGAUCUAUUGAUUGAAGAGCCAUUGUGCUUCUGUAAUCCUUUUGUGCUGAUGACAUUCAUAGUAAACAUAUUGUCCAUAUACAGUUCUUAUAAAAUGAUUCACCCUCUGUGGAAGUCAUCAUGUGUUAUUGUUGCUCAUUAUUGAACCACAAAGGCUGUAUUUUUCAGAUCAACAAAUAAAUAAAA